rnacentral:rRNA from 1 species
ACGUGGAUAACCUACCUAUAAGACUGGGAUAACUUCGGGAAACCGGAGCUAAUACCGGAUAACAUAUUGAACCGCAUGGUUCAAUAGUGAAAGGCGGCUUUGCUGUCACUUAUAGAUGGAUCCGCGCCGUAUUAGCUAGUUGGUAAGGUAACGGCUUACCAAGGCAACGAUACGUAGCCGACCUGAGAGGGUGAUCGGCCACACUGGAACUGAGACACGGUCCAGACUCCUACGGGAGGCAGCAGUAGGGAAUCUUCCGCAAUGGGCGAAAGCCUGACGGAGCAACGCCGCGUGAGUGAUGAAGGUCUUCGGAUCGUAAAACUCUGUUAUCAGGGAAGAACAAAUGUGUAAGUAACUGUGCACAUCUUGACGGUACCUGAUCAGAAAGCCACGGCUAACUACGUGCCAGCAGCCGCGGUAAUACGUAGGUGGCAAGCGUUAUCCGGAAUUAUUGGGCGUAAAGCGCGCGUAGGCGGUUUUUUAAGUCUGAUGUGAAAGCCCACGGCUCAACCGUGGAGGGUCAUUGGAAACUGGAAAACUUGAGUGCAGAAGAGGAAAGUGGAAUUCCAUGUGUAGCGGUGAAAUGCGCAGAGAUAUGGAGGAACACCAGUGGCGAAGGCGACUUUCUGGUCUGUAACUGACGCUGAUGUGCGAAAGCGUGGGGAUCAAACAGGAUUAGAUACCCUGGUAGUCCACGCCGUAAACGAUGAGUGCUAAGUGUUAGGGGGUUUCCGCCCCUUAGUGCUGCAGCUAACGCAUUAAGC